rnacentral:ncRNA from 1 species
CAAAAGCUUGGUCCUGACUUUUCUGUCAGUUUUGGUUAAAUUUAUACAUGCAAGUAUCCGCAUCCCUGUGAGAAUGCCCUAACAUAUCCCGCACCUCGGAAGAAAGGAGCAGGUAUUAGGCACAACUUCAUGGUUAGCCUACAACACCUUGCUAAGCCACACCCCCAAGGGAAAGCAGCAGUAAUAGAUAUUAAGCAAUAAGUGAAAACUUGACUUAGUUACAGGCCAGAAGAGCCGGUAAAACUCGUGCCAGCCACCGCGGUUAUACGAGGGGCUCAAAUUGACAGACGCGCGGCGUAAAAAGUGGUUAAUAUAUAGUAUUGUACUAAAGCCGAACACCUUCAAAGCUGUCAUACGCCCUUGAAGGCAGGAAGCACCCCCCACGAAAGUGGCUUUAAAUAAUAUUACUCCUCGAAAGCUAGAAAACAAACUGGGAUUAGAUACCCCACUAUGCCUAGCCCUAAACACAAGUGAUUAGUUACACCUACCUUCGCUUGCCCGGGAACUACGAGCCCCAGCUUAAAACCCAAAGGACUUGGCGGUGCUUUAGUCCCCCCUAGAGGAGCCUGUUCUAGAACCGAUAAUCCCCGUUAAACCUCACCCUCUCUUGUCUUUUUCCCGCCUAUAUACCACCGUCGUCAGCUUACCCUAUGAGGGAUAAAUAGUAAGCAUAAUUGGUACGAGCCUAAAACGCCAGGUCGAGGUGUAGCUAACGAGAGGGGAAGAAAUGGGCUACAUUUACUGCCCGCAGUAAACUACGGACAAUGCCUUGAAACCAGACAUUUAAAGGAGGAUUUAGCAGUAAGAAAAGAAAAUAGAGUGCUUUUCUGAAACCGGCCCUGAAGCGCGCACACACCGCCCGUCACUCUCCCCAAACAGUUGCCAAGCCUUAAAUAAAAAAAAGAUGAUUUAAACAAAGGGGAGGCAAGUCGUAACAUGGUAAGUGUACCGGAAGGUGCACUUGGUUCAA